UACGAAGGGGGCUAGCGUUGUUCGGAAUUACUGGGCGUAAAGCGCACGUAGGCGGAUAUUUAAGUCAGGGGUGAAAUCCCAGAGCUCAACUCUGGAACUGCCUUUGAUACUGGGUAUCUUGAGUAUGGAAGAGGUGAGUGGAAUUCCGAGUGUAGAGGUGAAAUUCGUAGAUAUUCGGAGGAACACCGUGGCGAAGGCGACAUACUGGAUCAUUACUGACGCUGAGGCUCGAAAAGCGUGGGGAGCAGACAGG
rnacentral:rRNA from 1 species